rnacentral:sRNA from 1 species
UGUUGUCUUCGGACAACCAGCCAAUGCUUCAGCACUCUGUGAGAAGCACCUUCGGGUGACUGCCAAUAGCCUCGUAGCCUGAAAGAGGAAGCCCAUGUGGCGGUAACUCCGUUUAGCCUUUGAGAACGGAGAUCACUUAGCGGUGAUGAAGGUCCAU